AAAUUCCUCCCCGUUCAUCCUGAAUGAUUCUCCUUGUCCCAGCUAGAUUGGAAUUACCAUUCGAAUUGGAAGCCAUUAGAGGCAAAACCCAAGCCAAUAUGGUCCUAAUGAUGCACCUAGCAUCUUCAAUGACCUAUAUCCAUCCUCUUCUCAAAUAAUGAUCACUCACCAGCGCUUUCUGUAACUCUCCUAGUGCCUUAAGAUUUGUUUUGGAAGUUACUAUUUUUGCUUGUUCCAAACUUCCCUUGGUUGAACCUUUUUUUUUUGGUUAGCUUGUUUGUACACCCACUGUCAGUUCACACUUCACUGUUAGCCACGCCCACUACGGAAUCGAUACCAAGACCUCAGUGUUGAAACGAGGUAUCUAUGUGCGCACCAAGACAUGUGACUCUGUCCAAGUUACAUAGCUUUAGUAUACUGAUGGAACAAUGGGCCCUCCCACAGCAAAAGACACUCUAAGGCUUUUU